rnacentral:rRNA from 1 species
UACGAAGGGGGCUAGCGUUGCUCGGAAUGACUGGGCGUAAAGGGCGCGUAGGCGGCCUUCUAAGUCAGACGUGAAAUCCCCCGGCUUAACCUGGGAACUGCGUCUGAUACUGGGAGGCUAGAGUAUGGGAGAGGGAUGUAGAAUUCCAGGUGUAGCGGUGAAAUGCGUAGAUAUCUGGAGGAAUACCGGUGGCGAAGGCGGCAUCCUGGACCAUUACUGACGCUGAGGCGCGAAAGCUAGGGGAGCAAACGGG